UAUGGUGGAGCCUAAGGUUAGAUAGUGUGUGGUUAUAGAGUAAAAGUUCAGCUAGUGACUGAGCACUGGUUGAAGUGAUGUCAGGAUUGUCACUAAGAUAUAAGUCAAUAAUUGUUUUAUUAUUAAUUAAUGAUUGUGUUAGUGCAAUGACUCCAUCAUCAUUGAUGGAAUCAUUACUGAUCACUAGUGUCACUAAUGAAGUAUUGUUUGUUAUUUUGUGUGACAGUAAGAGGAUGACAUCUUUUGUUAUUUUAGUGUUUCUUAUAUAAAUAUACUUAAUUGUUCCUUUGUUCAGUGCUAGUGACAUCAAUAGGUAUACAAUAUCAGGUGAUGAGUAAUAGAGGUAAAUUUUCCGAUGAAUGUCCGUUAAUUGACUGAUCACUUCCUGACAUUGACCUGCUGAUGGUUUAGUGAGGAAUACACUACCAAUGGUCCACUCUACCUCUCCAGUCUCUUCUCCUAAUAAUAAACACAGUGAUGCUGGUUUUUGUACCAGUAAGUCAUUACAGCUGCUAGGAUGGAAUGGGUGUGGUCUAUCUUUUAUCAUGUGACAGGAAACAAAAAUCAAUUUCCUUGGUCCAUUAUGCCAGCUAAUCAACUUCAAAGCACAAGCUAAUGUAAGCAUAUACCAUAUACAUGUAU